rnacentral:rRNA from 1 species
GGAAGGUGCGAGCGUUAAUCGGAAUUACUGGGCGUAAAGCGCGCGUAGGCGGCUAGAUAAGUCGGGUGUGAAAGCCCCGGGCUCAACCUGGGAACUGCAUUCGAUACUGUCUGGCUAGAGUGUGAUAGAGGAAGGCGGAAUUCCGCAUGUAGCGGUGAAAUGCGUAGAGAUGCGGAGGAACACCAAUGGCGAAGGCAGCCUUCUGGAUUAACACUGACGCUGAGGUGCGAAAGCGUGGGGGGAGCAAACAGGAUUAGAUACCCUGGUAGUCCACGCUGUAAACGAUGUCAACUAGCCGUUGGGAGCAAUUUGGCUCUUGGUGGCGUAGCUAACGCGAUAAGUUGACCGCCUGGGGUAGUACGGUCGCAAGAUUA